rnacentral:rRNA from 1 species
NAACCAACAGGGAUUGCCUUAGUAGCGGCGAGUGAAGCGGCAAUAGCUCAAAUUUGAAAUCUGCUAGUAAUAGCCGAGUUGUAAUUUGUAGACGGCGACUUUGGACGCGGCCUUGCUCAAGUUCCUUGGAACAGGACAUCAUGGAGGGUGAGAAUCCCGUGAUGCGAGGGCCCCGCGUCUGUGUAAAGUGCUGUCAAAGAGUCGAGUUGUUUGGGAGUGCAGCUCUAAGUGGGUGGUAAAUUCCAUCUAAAGCUAAAUAUUGGCGAGAGACCGAUAGCGAACAAGUACUGUGAAGGAAAGAUGAAAAGAACUUUGAAAAGAGAGUGAAAAAGUACGUGAAAUUGUUGAAAUGGAAGGGCUUGAAAUUAGACAUGGCCGGUAGUGCUCCACGCUCCCUUGGGGGUGUGUACUCGCUGCGGCUGGGCCAGCAUCAGUUUUGGCAGAAGGAUAAAAGGCGGCCAAUGUAGCAGCUUGCUGUGUUAUAGGGCCGUUGGAAUACUUUUCGCCGGGACUGAGGACCGCAUUUUUGAGGAUGCUGGCGUAAUGAUUUCAAGCCAC